rnacentral:rRNA from 1 species
GUGUCAGCAGCCGCGGUAACACGUAGGGGGCGAGCGUUGUCCGGAUUUAUUGGGCGUAAAGAGCUCGUAGGCGGUUCGAUAAGUCGGGUGUGAAAACUCUGGGCUCAACUCAGAGACGCCACCCGAUACUGUUGUGACUUGAGUCCGGUAGGGGAGUAUGGAAUUCCCGGUGUAGCGGUGAAAUGCGCAGAUAUCGGGAGGAACACCAGUGGCGAAGGCGGUACUCUGGGCCGGAACUGACGCUGAGGAGCGAAAGCGUGGGUAGCGAACAGGAUUAGAUACCCGAGUAGUCC